rnacentral:rRNA from 1 species
AGAAUCAACGCUGGCGGCGUGCCUAACACAUGCAAGUCGAACGAGAAAGUGGAGCAAUCCAUGAGUAAAGUGGCGCACGGGUGAGUAACACGUGACUAACCUACCCUUGAGUGGGGGAUAACCUAGGGAAACCUGGGCUAAUACCGCAUAAUACCUUCGGGUCAAAGGAGCAAUUCGCUUAAGGAGGGGGUCGCGGCCGAUUAGUUAGUUGGCGGGGUAAUGGCCCACCAAGACUGUGAUCGGUAUCCGGCCUGAGAGGGCGCACGGACACACUGGAACUGAAACACGGUCCAGACUCCUACGGGAGGCAGCAGUGGGGAAUUUGCGCAAUGGGGGAAACCCUGACGCAGCAACGCCGCGUGGAGGAUGAAGUCCCUUGGGGCGUAAACUCCUUUCGACCAAGACGAUAAUGACGGUACUGGUGGAAGAAGCACCGGCUAACUCUGCGCCAGCAGCCGC